GGAGAGCAGAAGAAUCUGGAAAAUCCAUGUGCGCCUGCUUACCUUGCUGCAGCUUGCAUGCAGACUAUGACUCCUCCCACCUCCGCGAUGUGUGUGAAGAGAUGUUUCUCCAUAUCCCCUGCAGGAAUGCUCUGAACAUUGCCUUACUCCUGAUCUAGUCUUGCCUGAGGAGACCAGAAGUCUACUGAUGCACUGUUCCUUUUAGCCAGAGGAAAAGGAUGCUGCCCAAGAAGAGCUGGAAAGAAUCAGCAGUGCAGCCGCGCUUCAAUAAUCAUCCAGUUCCAAGGACUGAUAGAGUAAAAGAAGUGGUGAAGCCAGAAAUGAAGCCUUUCCUCACAGAAGAUACAAAUUAACAGCUAUGAGGAUGUUGC
rnacentral:lncRNA from 1 species